rnacentral:rRNA from 1 species
GACGAACGCUGGCGGCGUGCUUAACACAUGCAAGUCGAACGGAAAGGCCCUGCUUGCGGGGUGCUCGAGUGGCGAACGGGUGAGUAACACGUGGGUGAUCUGCCCCUUACUUUGGGAUAAGCCUGGGAAACUGGGUCUAAUACUGGAUAGGACCAUGCUGUAGGUGGUGUGGUGGAAAGAUUAGUUUCGGUAAGGGGUGAGCUCGCGGCCUAUCAGCUUGUUGGUGGGGUAAUGGCCUACGAAGGCGUCGACGGGUAGCCGGCCUGAGAGGGUGGACGGCAACAUUGGGACUGAGACGCGGCCCAGACUCCUACGGGAGGCAGCAGUGGGGAAUAGUGCACAAGGGGCGCAAGCCUGAUGCAGCGACGCCGCGUGGGGGAUGACGGCCUUCGGGUUGUAAACUCCUUUCAGCCAUGACGAAGCCCUUGUGGUGACGGUAGUGGUAGAAGAAGCACCGGCUAACUACGUG